CAGCCGCGGUUAAUUCCAGCUCCAAUAGCGUAUAUUAAAGUUGUUGCAGUUAAAAAGCUCGUAGUUGAAUUUCGGGAUCAGUUGGUCGGUCGUGCCUCGGUACGUACUGGUCAAAUUGAUUCCUACCUUCUGACGAACCACGAUGUCAUUAAUUUGGUGUCGCGGGAAAUCAGGACUGUUACUUUGAAAAAAUUAGAGUGUUUAAAGCAGGCUCGCGCUUGAAUACAUUAGCAUGGAAUAAUGAAAUAGGACGUUUGAUUCUAUUUUGUUGGUUUCUAGGAUCGACGUAAUGAUUAAUAGGGAUAGUUGGGGGCAUUAGUAUUCAAUUGUCAGAGGUGAAAUUCUUGGAUUUAUUGAAGACUAACUACUGCGAAAGCAUUUGCCAAGGAUGUUUUCAUUAAUCAAGAACGAAAGUUAGGGGAUCGAAGACGAUCAGAUACCGUCGUAGUCUUAACCAUAAACUAUGCCGACUAGGGAUCGGAUGAUGUUAAUUUUUUAAUGACUCAUUCGGCGCCUUACG
rnacentral:rRNA from 1 species